rnacentral:piRNA from 1 species
GUAACUGUCCUCUACUCAGGGAAGAGUGA